UGCCCGAUCUAGAUCUAACCAGCCGAGUUGAAAGAAAAUAUCUACCAUCAGCUCCGUGGAAGUGCCCGUCCCUAUAUCACACCCCCAUCACCCAGUUGGUGAACUCACUCCAGGUCUCCAGCAACCAUAUCCCUUCUCCUGCCCCGGACUCCUGCAGCAUCUGAAGCUCGCCUUCGCCGCGCGUCUGCAGGGCACUACAUGAAGUGACCUAGAACACAUGGAAGGGGAUACGUUCCAGGAAGAGGUCAAAUGCCUCAUGGAGGUGAAGCACAAAAACGUCGCACAGUUUCUAGGAUAUUGUGCCGACACACAAGGGAGAGUGGUUGACUUUGAGGGAAGAUUUGUAAUGGCAGAUGCACGACGUCAGUUCCUCUGUUUUAAGUAUCUACGCAAAGAUACAUACAGUGGAGUUGAAUGGAGAGAGCACUAUGAAAUAAUCAAGGAAAUUGCAAGGGUUUAUGGUACCUUCACCGUAAUCAUAUUGUUCACUUGGACCUAAAACCUGAUAAUAUAUUGUUGGAUGAUAAUAUGGUACCGAAAAUAGCUGACUUUGGUCUCUCAAAGUACUUUCGUGCCGGAUUAUCAUUUCAAAAUAUUGAUGAACAUCGGGUUAUUUGGCACCAGAAUUCUACGGUGGAAAACUCACAUUCAAGUCAGACAUAUACAGUUUGGGUGUUAUAAUCAUAGAGAUAUUAAUAUGUCAUAUGAAAUAUACCAAAGACUGCUCUGCUUUGAGUAUAUACCCAAAGGGUAUCUUUAUGAUUAUAUCACCGGUCACAUUCAAGUCAGACAUAUACAGUUUGGGUGUUAUAAUCAUAGAGAUACUAACAUGACAUAUGAGAUAUACCAAAGAUUGCUCUGCUUUGAGUAUGUACCUAAAGGGAGUCUUCAUGAUUAUAUCACCGAUGCAUCUCGUGGACUUGAAUGGGGCAAGAGGUACCUAAUUGUUAAAGGAAUUUGUGAGGGCUUAUAUUACCUUGAACAAGAAAGCAUUAUUCACUUAGAUCUGAAACCAGCCAAUAUAUUGAUGGACAACAAUAUGUUGCCCAAAAUUGCCGACUUUGGUCUCCCAAGAUGUAAGAUGUUAUGAUGAAAAUCAAAAUUGGAUCAAUGUAGGCCGAUUAAGUCUCUCAAAGCUCAUCAAUGGUGGCUUUGCAGUGGUUUAUAAGGGAAUUCUUUAAAAGGAGGCAAUCGCUGUGAAGAAGCUUUCCAACACGUCUUAUAUUCAUGGUAGUGAAUUCUAGUGAGAGGUUGAAUGUCUGAUGAAGGCCAAGCACAAAAAGUACGGUUUAUGAGUUAUUUGGCUAUGCACAUGGGGAAAUGGCUUCCUACGAGGGAAAAUUUUCCAUGGCAGAUGUACAACAAAGGUUGCUUUGCUUUGAGUAUCUACCGAAAGGAAGUCUUCGUGACUAUAUCAUCGAAUGCUUAUGGAUAUGAAUGGAGAGAGCGCUAUAAUAUAAUCAAAGGAAUUUGUGAGGGUUUAAGUUAUCUCCACAAGAACCAUAUUGUCACUUCGACUUAAAACCGACAAAUAUACUUUAUGGAAUAUAAUAUGGUUCCUAAAAUAGCUGACUUUGGUAUCUCAAGAUGUUUUGAUGAAACAAGGACUUGUUAUUACUUCAAAAGUGAUGGGAUUAGUGGGAUAUACUUUACUAAAAGUUCUUUUCAGUGGAAUAAUCACAUUCAAAUCAGACAUAUACAAUCUUAGUCUAUAUAUCAAUAAUUAUGGAGAUAUUGAUUAUGAUGAAGAGGUACUCAAAAAUUGGAGGAAUAGAUUGGACAGAUCACUGGGAGGCAGACAACUGGAACGAGUAUGCUCUGAGUGAUGGAGUGCAUUGACACCGAGCCAGCGAGGAAACCAAGUCCUUAGCAUAUGAGCAAGCACCUCAGCCGCCGGAGGGGUCGAUGCUCGUCAAUGUGGAUGCAACGAUCUUCUCCCAAUCUGCAAGAGCGGGCUUUGGUCCAGUGAUACAUAAUCACCUGGGAAGGGUGCACAGGCGGUGAACAGAGGCUACUUCGAAAGAGUUCAAAUUCCUGAAGUAGCAGAAGCCAUGGCACUUCUUCAAAGCCUUAACCCUUGCCAAUAAAUCUGGUAUAAUGAAGAUCAUGGUAGCAUCUGAUUGCCUAUCAUUGGGUUUAGGUUUUGAUAGGUCCCCUACUGGAGCCAUAGUCCAUGAUAUUAGAAAAUGUGCCACAAAAUUUGUAUCUUGUACUUUUAUCCAUGUCAAUCGUUCUUGUAGGCACUAGGCAGCACAUGUUCUGGUAUCCAUGUCAAUCGAUUCUUGUAGGCGGCAUAUGUUCAGCUAAAUCGGCAGAGCAUGAUGUUUGGUCCUGUUGGCUUAGUGGGUUCCCUGAUGUAAUCAGGACCAUUAUAUGUAACGAAUCAGUUAUGAAUGAAUAAAAGGGUGCAACUGCCCAUUACCUUGAAGAAAA